GCCUCAGUAGCUCAGGGGAUAGAGCAGCGGCCUUCUAAUCCGCCGGUCGGGGGUUCGAUUCCCUCCUGGGGCACCC
rnacentral:tRNA from 4 species